UACGUAGGGUGCAAGCGUUGUCCGGAAUUAUUGGGCGUAAAGAGCUCGUAGGCGGUCUGUCGCGUCGGCUGUGAAAACUCGGGGCUCAACUCCGAGCUUGCAGUCGAUACGGGCAGGCUAGAGUUCGGCAGGGGAGACUGGAAUUCCUGGUGUAGCGGUGAAAUGCGUAGAUAUCAGGAGGAACACCGGUGGUGUAAACGGCUUUCUGGACCAUAACUGACGCUGAGGCACGAAAGCGUGGGUAGCAAACAGG
rnacentral:rRNA from 1 species